GGGGAUGCCAGGCUUCGAUUUUAUCCAAGCUAUAUAUGUGCAACCUGGGUGUGCGUGAACAUCCAGAAACAAAUUGCGCGAUACCAUAACUGGAAAUGUUAUGAGUCGAGUGGAAAACGCUGUAGCGAAAGCUUUCGGCGCACAAAAACUCGCAACCGUUGUUGCCUAAAAGUGCAACUACCAUCCGUCCGUGUGUACCCGGCAUUCGGGACGCGGGUGUUAUACUCCGGGAGUAGGCUAAGUGGAUACUCUGACAUUUAUCCGAAACUCAUCAGAGAGUAGAUGAUUACUUUUUAUUCGAUUUCUAUGUAUUCAUCGAAACAACAAAUCGAAUUAUGGUUGUAGAGCAUACGUAACACUGAGUAAAAGACGCGGGUUCGACUCCCGCCAUCUCCACCA
rnacentral:tmRNA from 1 species